rnacentral:rRNA from 1 species
UUGACCUCGGAUCAGGUAGGGAUACCCGCUGAACUUAAGCAUAGAAAA